GACGAACGCUGGCGGCGUGCUUAACACAUGCAAGUCGAACGGAAAGGCCCUGCUUUUGUGGGGUGCUCGAGUGGCGAACGGGUGUGUAACACGUGAGUAACCUGCCCUUGACUUUGGGAUCACUUCAGGAAACUGGGGCUAAUACCGGAUAGGAGCUCCUGCUGCAUGGUGGGGGUUGGAAAGUUUCGGCGGUUGGGGAUGGGCUCGCGGCUUAUCAGCUUGUUGGUGGGGUAGGGGGUUACCAAGGCUUUGACGGGUAGGCGGGCUGAGGGGGUGACCGGCCCCAUUGGGACUGAGAUUCGGGCCAGGCCCCCACGGGGGGGAGCAGUGGGGGAGAUUUCCCCAUGGGUCGGAGCCCGAUGCAGCAACGCCGUGGGCGGGAUGACGGGCUUCGGGUUGGAAACCGGUUUUGCUCUUGAACGAGCUGUGUGUGACGGUAAUGGGUAAAGAAGCACCGGCUAACUACGUG
rnacentral:rRNA from 1 species